AGUGAACGCUGGCGGUAGGCCUAACACAUGCAAGUCGAACGGCAGCACAGUAAGAGCUUGCUCUUACGGGUGGCGAGUGGCGGACGGGUGAGGAAUACAUCGGAAUCUACUUUUUCGUGGGGGAUAACGUAGGGAAACUUACGCUAAUACCGCAUACGACCUACGGGUGAAAGCAGGGGAUCUUCGGACCUUGCGCGAUUGAAUGAGCCGAUGUCGGAUUAGCUAGUUGGCGGGGUAAAGGCCCACCAAGGCGACGAUCCGUAGCUGGUCUGAGAGGAUGCACCCCCACAUGGGACCUGAGACACGGCCCCGUCUCCCACGGGAGGCAGGAGGGGGGAAUUUUGAACAAUGGGCCGAACCCUGACCCGGCCAUCCCGCGGGGGUGAAGAAGCCUUUCGGUUUGUAACCCCUUUUUGUUGGGAAAAAAAAGUGGGAGUUUAAACCCCCGUUUUUCUACCGGUACCAAAAGAAUGACCACCGGCAAACUUCGU
rnacentral:rRNA from 1 species